ensembl:lncRNA
GAAUUAUUCACAUGAAGGCAGCACAUAAAGGAAGGUGUGACAGUCCCUCAAAACAGACGUCUAUCACCAUCUACACUGGUUAGGUUAGUGAAUAAACAUAGCUAAGAGCAAACUAGUUUUACAGAACGAGGAAGUUUUACUGAGGCAGCUUGACUUCGACUGUUUACUGACACUGUAUUUUCUCCUGCACUCUGACUGACAGAAAAACGAUCUUGUCCAGAGAAAAGCAUCUGUAUGCUUAAAUGUGGAGAGACUAACGGUAACGUGACCUGGAGCAGAGAUGUGGGUGGAAAAAGGGACAAGAUUCUCAGCGUCUACAAGGACACGGUUAUCAAACACAUCACUGAUCCAGACAGACGUUACAGCUCAGGAAGACGUCUGAUUCUGAGUAUAUUUAAUGUCUCGUUCUCAGACGCUGGUCGAUAUUACUGUAAUGAGAACGCAGUGGAGGUCAGUGUGACAUCAAAGACUCUGAAAAUCAUGAAAACGGGGGAUUGGUUGACGGUAACAGCUUUAGUAGCCGGGGGUUGUGCGCUUGUUUUAGUGUCACUUCUGGUUCUGUGGAGGUGUUUCUCCAAAAGGAAAGGUAGCACCGCCAAAGUACAGCACGAUUCAGCUGAAAAAGAAUCUUUGGAUGAGAUACAUGUUUAUGAGUCAAUUUACGAGACUCCCUCAGCUCCUCAACCAGCAGCUCCACAGCAGAUCCCAAAAGAUGGAUUUUACUAUCUGGCUACACAUCCAGGAAUCCAGAACAGGCAUUAAAACACACACACACACACACACACACACACACACACACACACACACACACACACACACACACACAAAUACACAACAUGUCAACAUGUGGAUCUUCCUUCAAAGAGUGUGAAGGUAAAGGCAGUUUCUGAAUAGAAGUGUGGGCUGUAGGAGUUGGGGGUGGGGUGGGACUACUGAUUGACUGAGUUGCUGUUGUCCAGAGAUGAUCGGCGUUGAUUUGUGAUUGUUGUUGUUUUAUAAUAAACAUCUGUACUUUUUACUUUCACUUUGUUCUAUAUCUAUGAACACAUGAAUAUGAUGAUUGUGAUGUCUGGGUUAGGGUUACUACUACUACUACCGGAAUUGUUGAGUUGACUGUUGAAUAAUUAUGGCUAAAUCAAUUAAACAACAGUUUGGAAUAUCUGAACUGUUGUGCACAUUAUUCUUUUCCUACUGUAUAUUUCAUAUGAGUAUUAAAAUAUAUGUUUUUUUGUUACAAUAGUCAAUUUCAUAAUGUCAACACUCACUAUACACUAUUUCAUUUAUGAGGCAAAAGGCAACCUGCAGUCAUACACCAAGUCCACAUAUUUCUAUCACAAAAUAUCGAGGCUUGAAUCCCUUGUAAAUCCCACCUUCCCAGCAUCUGAACUCUAACCUAGCUGAGACACGCUGCUCAAACUUUCUUAUCUAUCUGAUGCUACGUUCAUAGUCGCUGUACUAUGAAGUCGCCAGUAGGUGUUCCUGCUACCAGUUGUCAUAGUAACAUUUGUCAGUGGGUGGUGCGACUAACAUUCCACUUUUGACAAUUAAUCAGUUUUCUUGCUGCUAAAAUGGAACCUUCUGGAGGAAGAGGAUCUUAUAUAAAACUCACCAGUGUAUAUAUGCAUCACAUCCUAUGAGAUCGAGGAGAAGCAGUGUGUGCUCUUUGCCACUGAGGCCAUCUGUCUGUGGGAAAAGUGCAAUUAGCUUAGCUUAGCUUAGCUUAUGGCCUCCUCGGCCAUGGUCUCCGUGCUUCCUGGGUGAAGUGGCUGGCUUGGUGCUGCUUGUUCCCAGAGCCGGGCGUCUCAGCCUCAGGUCCUCGCUCCUUCUGGUAGCUUCUACUUAUCACGUGCACUCUCCUGUCUUCACUCCCAUUGGUAGUCUCUGCACCAAGUCACUCCACAUUUGCAUAAAGUCGCCUGCAUUUACCAGCUUUGUGACCAAAAUUUUAAAAAAUAAUUUAAUAAAACUAGCCACAGUAGGUUGAAGUUGGUUUGCAAAAAAAAAAAAGAAAAAAAAAGCUAACACUAAGCAACAUAAACAUAAUUUUAACAUUAACUUAGUUGACCUUACCUUAGGUGUGUUCAACUAGUACGAUGAGUUUUCACUCUUGCCUUGCUGCAACACGGUCCUUGCAGGAGCAGCACAUCUGAUGUAUCGUAUAUGAGGCCCAGCAAGGCCCAUGGAUGUGAGUCGCUGCCUGAUCUGAGUAGCGCACGCAUCUUGGACAACUAGGUACGGCAACACCACCUGGACCAACACGCAGAACUGCAGUAAACAUUUAUAGUUAUGAUUAUGAUCACAUUUGCUAAUGAUUAAUUCAGACGGCGUUGUGUGGUUUCAAUUCAAUUCAAAGCAUCAAACAAUUCGUUCAAAUAUCUGAACAAUACACAAUAACAGCAACAUUACGCAGACAAUGACAGACAAUCAUGCAACCGACAUUGACAAUUGUUGAAUUGAAUUUACAAUUCAUAUGUCGAUCUCCUGCACCUGUCUUCCACGUCCACAGAUGUCCAAAAAAACUCUUAGCAAGACGUGCAAAUCUACAUCUGAGAGGUGUCAUAAUCAGAUGUCCAGAGACUGAACCUGAUUUACACAUCUUGCAGACAUACAGAUAUGGUCCUGGACCAAGCGACGUAAUAUAGGCAUGAUCUACACAUCUGGCAGAUGUCUCAUGUUUGCUGGGAUACAGUAAAAAAAAAAAAAAUUAUAUAUGAAGUGCAUAGAAGUAAGCUGCAGCUCAGGAAGUGAUGUAAUUGUGUAUGUAGG